CCCGUGUCUUGAAGUGUUCCGAGGGUAAGCAAGGAACGGAGAGGACAGUACACGGCUCGAUCUCCCUCGACUCUUCUUACUCUCCUCUCUCCCUCCCUCAACCUCUCCCGCUGCGCUCUCGCCCCCUCUCGCUGUUUUGAGCUAGGAAUGGUUGGAAUCCCUAAUCUUUGCAGCUUCUUCUUUCUCAUCCCUCCCGAGGCACUCACUCUGUCACUCUUGCCCUCAACUCUUUGCCUCACACGAUUGACCGAUUAUCCAUGACACCGAGGAUCCAGAGAGGAAUGGGCUAGAGGAGGUGACAUCAGAGGCCAUGAGAGAUGACAAGGACACCACAGCAGUCGUGCAGCCAUUGUCAAGCUUGAGGAGGACGAAGAAGUUCUUCUCAAUAUGAAGGCGAAGCUUUAUUGGUUCAGUAAAGAGGGAAAUCAGUGGCAAGAGGGGUAUCGGAAACGUGAAGCUCUUGAUUUCUUCUGUAUUUGUUAAAUUUGGAGCAAAUUAUGACUAGUUUUUCAGGUGGAAAGUCAUGAAAGAGAAAAAAGAUGGACAUGGAGGUGAAGAUAAUUACUUGAUGGAUCAUGAAUUUUGUUGUAUGUUUGAUGAAUGAUUGUAACAAGUUAAUUCUUUUAGUCAUGUAAUCAACAAGUUAUCAAUAUAGAAUUUGUGUUAUUUUUUUUUAAUAA